UACAGAGGUCUCGAGCGUUGUUCGGAUUCAUUGGGCGUAAAGGGCGCGUAGGCUGCGGGGCAAGUCGGGUGUGAAAUCUCAGAGCUCAACUCUGAAACUGCACUCGAUACUGCUUUGCUUGAGGACUGGAGAGGAGAUUGGAAUUCACGGUGUAGCAGUGAAAUGCGUAGAUAUCGUAAGGAAGACCAGUGGCGAAGGCGGGUCUCUGGACAGUUCCUGACGCUGAGGCACGAAGGUCAGGGGAGCAAACGGG
rnacentral:rRNA from 1 species